rnacentral:rRNA from 1 species
CUGCGGAAGGAUCAUUAUCGAGUUUUGAAAGGGGUUGUAGCUGGCUCUGUACGAGUCAUUGUGCACACCCGUGCAUUCAGAUCCAUCUCUUCCCCUGUGAACUAUGUGUAGGCCUGGAUACCCCUCGCUUUGGCAACAAAGCGGUUUGCAAGGAUUGCUGUGUCGAUAAGGCCGGCUCUCUUUGGGUUUCCAUGUUCUAUGUCUUUUACACACACUCAUUUGAAUGAUGUAGAAUGUAGUCAAUGUGCUAUUCGCGCCUGUAAUGCAUCUUUAUACAACUUUCAGCAACGGAUCUCUUGGCUCUCGCAUCGAUGAAGAACGCAGCGAAAUGCGAUAAGUAAUGUGAAUUGCAGAAUUCAGUGAAUCAUCGAAUCUUUGAACGCACCUUGCGCUCCUUGGUAUUCCGAGGAGCAUGCCUGUUUGAGUGUCGUGUAAAUUCUCAACCUCACCAGGUCUUUGUAACAAAGACAGGCCUUGUUAGGCUUGGAUAUUGGAGGGUAUAAUUGUCAGGCAUGCCUCAGUGCUGGUCUGCUCCUCUGAAAUGCAUUAGCUUGAGCUCCUGUUGUGGCUCGGUCUCUUGGUGUGAUAAGUUGUUUAUGCCGUGGACCUUGAAGCAUUUUCUAUGGGAAGUUGCUUCUAAUCGUCUCUUCACUUGAGACAAUUUACUUUGACCAAUUUGACCUCAAAUCAGGUAGGACUACCCGCAUGCAGCUUAAGACAAUAUCCCAAUAAGCGGAGGAACGG